rnacentral:rRNA from 1 species
AGUGAUCCGGUAAUUCUGUAUGGAAGAGUUAUCGCUCAACGGAUAAAAGGUACUCUAGGGAUAACAGGCUGAUAGCGCCCAAGCGUCCCCAGCGACGGCGCUGUUUGGCACCUCGAUGUCGGCUCAUCUCAUCCUGGGGCUGGAGAAGGUCCCAAGGGUAUGGCUGUUCGCCAUUUAAAGAGGUACGUGAGCUGGGUUCAGAACGUCGUGAGACAGUUCGGUCCCUAUCUGCCGUGGGUGUUGGAGUUUUGAGAGGAUCUGUCCUUAGUACGAGAGGACCGGGAUGGACACACCUCUGGUGUAUCGGUUGUCGCGCCAGCGGCAUAGCCGAGUAGCUAUGUGUGGAAAAGAUAACCGCUGAAGGCAUCUAAGCGGGAAACUUGCCUCGAAACCAGAACUCCCUAUUAGAGCCGUGGAAGACCACCACGUUGAUAGGUCAGAUGUGGAAGAGCAGUAAUGCUUGAAGCUAACUGAUACUAAUGGCUCAAUCGGCUUAAAUUCAU